AUGAUUUCAAAGGCAACUUCAUUUACAAUCAAACCUCAACCUUUUAUCAUUUACAAAAUAAACCUCGACUUUAACUUUAAAACUUUAAAAAUUGCAAAAGUAAAUAUAAAAGACUUUAAUCACUUUUGUCGCAUAGUUUACAUUAGGCCAAAAGUUAUAACUAAUGGGAAUGGUACAAGUCUAACCAUUAAACACAAUAUAAUAUAUAUGCCUCAUGAUCACAAAUUCUAA